rnacentral:rRNA from 1 species
GAUGAACGCUGGCGGCGUGCCUAAUACAUGCAAGUCGAGCGAACGGACGAGAAGCUUGCUUCUCUGAUGUUAGCGGCGGACGGGUGAGUAACACGUGGAUAACCUACCUAUAAGACUGGGAUCACUUCGGGAAACCGGAGCUAAUACCGGAUAAUAUUUUGAACCGCAUUGUUCAAAAGUGAAAGACGGUCUUGCUGUCACUUAUAGAUGGAUCCGCGCUGCAUUAGCUAGUUGGUAAGGUAACGGCUUACCAAGGCAACGAUGCAUAGCCGACCUGAGAGGGGGAUCGGCCACACUGGAACGGAGACACGGUCCAGACUCCUACGGGAGGCAGCAGUAGGGAAUCUUCCGCAAUGGGCGAAAGCCUGACGGAGCAACGCCGCGUGAGUGAUGAAGGUCUUCGGAUCGUAAAACUCUGUUAUUAGGGAAGAACAUAUGUGUAAGUAACUGUGCACAUCUUGACGGUACCUAAUCAGAAAGCCACGGCUAACUACGUG